CAUUGACUCCAAAUGGAUUUUUUAAAAAAUAACAACAACAAUAAUAAUAAUGUGAUUUUUUUUUUCAAGCGUUUCUGUUCAGGUAGAGAAUUAGAGAAGUUUCUCUCUUCUCCUUCUCCAAGAGCCAUCUGGCUGGAUAGCUUUUGGUGGAUAUUUCAUGAGAGGUACCAGCCAAACAAGGAGCUCCAGAAUAAUCUGUUUGACCGGAUAGCCCAGCACUAUGCCUUACUUUUGUUUCGUGUACCCAAGUCCCACUAUGAAGAGGCGCUCUUAAAAAGGCUGCCAUCACUUCUGAGCAAAGCUGUGUACACCAGCUUCUGUUGCUGCUUCCCACAGUCCUGGUUCAACACGCACGAAUUCAAGUCUGACAUCUGUAACACAAUGAGCCUGUGGAUUUCAGGCACCUAUCCUAGCCCACAGAGCUAUGACAGCUGGGACUACUCGGAACUAGACCCAGAGCGAUUCCGCAGAGAAGAAUUAAUGUUAUACAGAAGAAGACUGACAAAGGGGAAAGAGUUUUCUUCGUUUGCUGGUAAGAGAGCCUUCUCCCAGAAGCCAGCCCAGAGCAGGAAAUUCUGCCACCC
rnacentral:sRNA from 1 species